rnacentral:rRNA from 1 species
GACGAACGCUGGCGGCGUGCUUAACACAUGCAAGUCGAACGGAAAGGCCCUGCUUUUGUGGGGUGCUCGAGUGGCGAACGGGUGAGUAACACGUGAGUAACCUGCACUUGACUUUGGGAUAACUUCAGGAAACUGGGGCUAAUACCGGAUAGGAGCUCCUGCUGCAUGGUGGGGGUUGGAGAGUUUCGGCGGUUGGGGAUGGACUCGCGGCUUAUCAGCUUGUUGGUGGGGUAGUGGCUUACCAAGGCUUUGACGGGUAGCCGGCCUGGGAGGUGGACCGGCCACAAUGGGACUGCGAUACGGACCAGUCGCCUACGGGAGGCAGCAGGGGGGAAUAUUGCACAAUGGGCGGAAGCCUGAUGCAGCAACGCCGCGUGCGUGAUGACGGCCUUCUGGGUGUAAACCGCUUUCGCCUGUGACGAAGCGUGAGUGACGGUAAUGGGUAAAGAAGCACCGGCUAACUACGUG